GUAGUCGUGGCCGAGUUUUUAAAUCGAUGGGCUAGAAAUCCAUUGGAAUCUUACCGCGUAGGUUCGAAUCCUACCGACUACG